rnacentral:rRNA from 1 species
GAUGAACGCUGGCGGCGUGCCUAAUACAUGCAAGUCGAGCGAACAGACGAGGAGCUUGCUCCUCUGACGUUAGCGGCGGACGGGUGAGUAACACGUGGAUAACCUACCUAUAAGACUGGGAUAACUUCGGGAAACCGGAGCUAAUACCGGAUAACAUGUUGAACCGCAUGGUUCAACAGUUAAAGACGGUUUUGCUGUCACUUAUAGAUGGAUCCGCGUCGCAUUAGCUAGUUGGUAAGGUAACGGCUUACCAAGGCAACGAUGCGUAGCCGACCUGAGAGGGUGAUCGGCCACACUGGAACUGAGACACGGUCCAGACUCCUACGGGAGGCAGCAGUAGGGAAUCUUCCGCAAUGGGCGCAAGCCUGACGGAGCAACGCCGCGUGAGUGAAGAAGGUCUUCGGAUCGUAAAACUCUGUUAUUAGGGAAGAAAAAAUGUGUAAGUAACUAUGCACGUCUUGACGGUACCUAAUCAGAAAGCCACGGCUAACUACGUG